UACGUAGGGUGCAAGCGUUAAUCGGAAUUACUGGGCGUAAAGCGUGCGCAGGCGGUUGUGCAAGACAGAGGUGAAAUCCCCGGGCUUAACCUGGGAACGGCCUUUGUGACUGCACGGCUAGAGUGUGUCAGAGGGGGGUAGAAUUCCACGUGUAGCAGUGAAAUGCGUAGAUAUGUGGAGGAAUACCGAUGGCGAAGGCAGCCCCCUGGGAUAACACUGACGCUCAUGCACGAAAGCGUGGGGAGCAAACAGG
rnacentral:rRNA from 1 species